rnacentral:piRNA from 1 species
CAUGUUAAGUAAGCCAGGUUC